GACGAACGCUGGCGGCGUGCCUAAUACAUGCAAGUCGAACGCUGAAGAGAGGAGCUUGCUCUUCUUGGAUGAGUUGCGAACGGGUGAGUAACGCGUAGGUAACCUGCCUUGUAGCGGGGGAUAACUAUUGGAAACGAUAGCUAAUACCGCAUAACAAUGGAUGACCCAUGUCAUUUAUUUGAAAGGGGCAAAUGCUCCACUACAAGAUGGACCUGCGUUGUAUUAGCUAGUAGGUGAGGUAACGGCUCACCUAGGCGACGAUACAUAGCCGACCUGAGAGGGUGAUCGGCCACACUGGGACUGAGACACGGCCCAGACUCCUACGGGAGGCAGCAGUAGGGAAUCUUCGGCAAUGGGGGCAACCCUGACCGAGCAACGACGCGUGAGUGAAGAAGGUUUUCGGAUCGUAAAGCUCUGUUGUAAGUCAAGAACGAGUGUGAGAGUGGAAAGUUCACACUGUGACGGUAGCUUACCAGAAAGGGACGGCUAACUACGUG
rnacentral:rRNA from 1 species